GGGAAAGGGAGGGGGAGGGGAUCGUAAGGAUCCAUGUUGUUCGGUGAUCUUUUGAGUUUGGUGUUUGUUGAUAAGGUUGUGUUGCUGAGGGUUUUGGCAUGGGAUGGAGUAGAGUUGUCUCUAUUUUGCAGCAUUCUGUAACUAAUAACAGAGAUGAAGUCUUUGUUUCAGUUUCUUAGGUGUUUGUGUCAGGAUGAAUCUCUGCCUCUUAUCAUGGUCACUCUUAUUGGGAUUAAAAUUAGCAUGCAUAAAUGUGAUCUUGCAGGAAUUAUCUAUUUUUGCCCUGUACGAUCUUGUUAGUGGGUGGAUCAA
rnacentral:misc_RNA from 1 species